UUCACGAUGGGAAUGCUUUCGGUUGCAUCGCAGCCUUGGCUUCCGCAGAUGCCUGGUUCAAAUCCACCCGUUGUAAACACAUGCUAGCGUUAAAAAAAACGCUCCAUAGAUAGAUAUUGCAGCUGAAAAAUCAUGGUCCUGGUUCGAAUACACCCGUUAAAAAACAUGCUACCGUUAAGAUAUUGCAGUUGAAAAAAAACAAGCUACCGUUAAUAAACACGCUCCAUAGAUAGAUAUUGCAGCUGAAAAAAGCAUGCUACCGUUAACAAAAGCACGCUCCUAUUCUUUAACCUAUUAUAUAUAUGGCCAUUGAUUUAGAAGAAUAGCUCAUCCGCAAUGUUCAGUAUUUCCCUGCGCACAUUGAUUCUGAAUGUACUAGCUAUGCAGACUCCUCUGGUUAUUGCUGCUUCAAGGCCAUAGUGAGCAUAUAGAUGAAAGAUUUUAGGGAACUAAAUUUAUAGAUUCUUGGUAUAGGGCUCGAUGCCCUUUCCUGCAAGGGGUGAAUUUGCCAUUUGGUGUGCCCUAUCUGCGAAGGAAUGUUGUCCGAGGGAGUGAUGCCUCCAACGCCUCAGAGGUCAUCCGCAUCACCAAUCAUAUGCGGAGGAAUGUUGACUGAUACUGGAAAAGGAGAACUAGUACAUAUAUUAGCUUAUUAUGGUAGCUGUGGACCAGCAAAAUUUGCAGAGAUAGAAGAAUGCUCGGCCAAUAUAAUAGAGGGCAGAAACCAUGUUACCGAAGCUUAAACCUCUGAAAAUGGGAGAAUGAUUCAUACAUUGCUGGGAGAUGGUGUAGCUCCAGGAAAACUGCAAUGAUUUAGAUUGCAUAAAGCAGGCAUCUAGCAAAUGCCUACUUAUGCUAGAUAUGGUACAUCUAAUACCUCGUUGUUUUUUGGGAUUACAUAGACGAUCCAAGUUCCUGAUUUCAAAUUGAAUAUUCAAUGUCCAAUAAAUAGGAGAGCAGCCACAUACUUAUCAAGUGUGCAACGUUAGAUAAUAUUUGGAUCCGGUUCAAGCAUUAGAUGUGGCAGAGGCAGUUGGCAGUCUGUAGAGUGAUGCCUAGAGUUUCUCAAUUGUUAUUGCAGUC